rnacentral:rRNA from 1 species
UACAGAGGUGGCAAGCGUUGUUCGGAAUUACUGGGCGUAAAGGGCGCGUAGGCGGUCCUGUAAGUCCUGUGUGAAAUCCCCCGGCUCAACUGGGGAAUUGCACGGGAAACUGCGGGGCUUGAGUAUGGGAGAGGUGAGUGGAAUUCCUGGUGUAGCGGUGAAAUGCGUAGAUAUCAGGAGGAACACCUGUGGCGAAAGCGGCUCACUGGACCAUAACUGACGCUGAUGCACGAAAGCUAGGGGAGCAAACAGG